rnacentral:rRNA from 1 species
CCUACGGGAGGCAGCAGUGAGGAAUAUUGGACAAUGGGCGCAAGCCUGAUCCAGCCAUGCCGCGUGCAGGAAGACGGUCCUAUGGAUUGUAAACUGCUUUUGUACGGGAAGAAACACUCCUACGUGUAGGAGCUUGACGGUACCGUAAGAAUAAGGAUCGGCUAACUCCGUGCCAGCAGCCGCGGUAAUACGGAGGAUCCAAGCGUUAUCCGGAAUCAUUGGGUUUAAAGGGUCCGUAGGCGGUUUAGUAAGUCAGUGGUGAAAGCCCAUCGCUCAACGAUGGAACGGCCAUUGAUACUGCUAGACUUGAAUUACUAGGAAGUAACUAGAAUAUGUAGUGUAGCGGUGAAAUGCUUAGAUAUUACAUGGAAUACCAAUUGCGAAGGCAGGUUACUACUAGUGGAUUGACGCUGAUGGACGAAAGCGUGGGGAGCGAACAGGAUUAGAUACCCUGGUAGUCCACGCCGUAAACGAUGGAUACUAGCUGUUCGGGGCAACCUGAGUGGCUAAGCGAAAGUGAUAAGUAUCCACCUGGGGAGUACGUUCGCAAGAAUGAAACUCAAAUGAAAUUGAGG